UACGAAGGGGGCAAGCGUUGUUCGGAAUUACUGGGCGUAAAGGGCGCGUAGGCGGUGCACUAAGUCAGGCGUGAAAGCCCUGGGCUCAACCCGGGAAUUGCGCUUGAUACUGGUGCGCUUGAAUCCAGGAGAGGUUGGUGGAAUUCCCAGUGUAGAGGUGAAAUUCGUAGAGAUUGGGAAGAACACCGGUGGCGAAGGCGGCCAACCGGACUGGUAUUGACGCUGAGGCGCGAAAGCGUGGGGAGCAAACAGG
rnacentral:rRNA from 1 species